AUUUAGUAUUCCAAAAUUAUUUUCAUCUAAACAAACAUUUUUCUUAAAAUACUUUUCAAAUUAUUAUGAUAUUCUUAUAGGAAGAAAAAUCCCAAAAGAAAGGAACGUAAGCAAACUUUUUCAAGUAAAAGACGAUCACUUAAAUAAUGAACUAUAAACUGAACUUUGUUGGACACAUAAUUACAACUGAAGGAAUCAAGGCAAAUCCAAAUGAAAUAAAAUCUAUUCAAUAUUUUAAAAUUUCAAACUCUCCGAAAUAAAUUAAAUCGUUUUAAGACCUUUGCCGAUUUUAUCGCAAACUUAGAAAAAACUUCGCAAAAAUCGCAAAACCAGUGAGUCUUUUUGUUUAAAGGAAGGAGCCAAAAUAAAAAUUAAAGAUCCCAGUUAUAACGAAGCGUUUGAAAAAUUAAAAACUUUAAUAAGUAAAUACUACCCGGAUUUCGAAAAAAAAAAGUUUGAUUUAACUACAGAUGCAAGCAAUUAUGAAUUAGGUGCUGUGUUAUCACAAGAAGAUAAGCCUAUUUGUUACGCCAGUAGAACUUUAAAUGAACAUGAAUUACGCAACUAUUGAAAAAGAAUUACUAGCUAUAGUAUGGGCACCAAAUAUCUCUUUGGAAGACGUUUUAAAGCUCAGACCAUUCGCCGCUUGUUUGGUUACAUAACAAACAACAACCUAAAAUGAAGUUACAACGUUGGAUAAAAAAAGUUAGAGAGUUUGAUUAUGAAAUAAAAAAAAUUAAAGGAAAGAAUAACCACGUAGCAGAUGCUUUAUCAAGAAUUACAAAAAAGGAAAGUAAAGACAACAAUCUUAAAGAAGUUUUUCAAAAUGAUGAUGAUUUAGAAACUACAGCAGCAACAGUGCAAAGUGCACAAGAAGAUAAUGGCAAUUGCAUACAGAUCACUGAACGACCUAUUAACGUUUUUAAUCACGAACUAAUAUUUGAAAAAAGGAAUCAAGACACUAACGAACUUACUACUUAAAAACAAACUAAUAACAAAAUAAUUUACAGUGACAUGACUGACCUUUUAGCAAAAUAUAUAACAAUAAAAUUCA